AUGUGUGUGUGUGUGUCGGGAAAUAAAGGGCAAUGCCUUUUAUUGUCUUGUUGUAUUUAUAUUCAUUUUCCAAAUAAUUCAGUAGAAUAUAAUUUAUCGAAAGUUUUUUAGUAUGUUAUGUUUUGAAUGAACGAUUAUAAUCUACUUCGAUAAAUAGAAAAAUGAGUAUUCUUUUGUACACUAAUUGUAAUUGGUUCAUACAAACUUUCGGAGCAAUUUACUAGUGUACUUGCGCGAAAGUGAGAUGUUAUUCACCGCCAUAUUUACAUUUCUCAGUUUUUCACAUCAGUUACUUAUUUAUGCAUGUCUGUUAUUUACUAUCGAUUCAAUGAUCAUCAACCACUUGAUAAAUAAAUUUAAUUUUAAUUCGAUAAGAACUAUGUAAUUGUUGAAAGUGUGUUUUUAUAUAUCGUAUGUGUUCAUUUUAAAAAAGAUUCAUAGAAGAUGAUAAAAAUAAGUGUUUUUUAGAUAUAUCAAUCGUUUAUGUGUUAAUAAUAAUGAUAGCAAUAGUACUGAUUAUAUAUACGUGUUUUCCAAUACUAUAUCAGUGGGAAGAAAAUUGAAUUUUAUUUUUGUUGAUAAUAAUCUUCGUUUUUAUUUAAUGUAAUUGAUUUCCUACUGUGUAUUCUAUAUAACAAUUGAACCAUUUUUGUUUUGACAUCAACAACAAAUAUGUUUAUCUUCAUAAUAAAUCUAAACUCAUAAGUUCUACAUAUUAUUGUUGUACAUAGUCAAAACAAAUUAUCAAAUUAUACCAAUGAAUAUAAAAACAAUGUUUGAUGAGUGGUGCAGAUACAUGAUUUUUUUAAUUUUUAUUCCCAACGUUAACAGUGCUCGACCGUUAAAUCAGUACAUUCGCCACUAUGAACCACUCUCGUAUUCGACUGAUGAAAUUCAUCGACAUCAUUUAAGAACCAAACGAUCAAUCACACAAAAUCAGCCAAUAAAUCUGAAAUUCCAAGCACUAGACAGACAUUUUCAUUUACGAAUUAAAAGAGAUGUAACCACUUUGAGUGAUAAGCUAGUCGUUGAGGGCCCAUCUGGAGACAUUGAAGAAGUUGAUACAUCACAUCUUUAUGAAGGUCAUCUAGUUGGUGAACCCAACAGUUAUGUUUUUGGUAGUCUUAGUGAUGGAGUAUUCCAUGGUAAAAUCAUCUCAGAUUCAGACGCUUGGUAUAUUGAAAGAGCACAUUAUUAUUUUCCCCUUCAUGCUAUCAAUGAUUCAUUACAUUCUGUAAUAUAUCAUGAAAAUGAUGUUGUUGAUCCAUAUGCCCACUUGAGAGAAGGUGAGUCAAGUGGGUGUGGUAUUACAGAACAAGUAGCAGAAUGGAUGAACAGAAUACAAAACUCUGCCGACACUAGUUCACCUCGUCCGCAAUCACACUCGAAUGUUAAUAAAAGCCAAUUACAAAAAAAUACUUCGAGUGCUCAGACUUGGAAAGAAUGGGAAAGUCCGGGUCACAAAUAUACAAAAGAAGCCAAUAUUCGGGAUCAUCAUCGAACUCCUCGAGCGACUCGGCCGAAAGAAGAUAAUAGAAAUACUUGUUCUUUAUUUAUUCAGACUGAUCCAUUUAUUUGGCGACAUAUUUCAGAACAUUUACAAAGAGAUCCUGAAAAAACUCGUGAAGAAAUUUUAUCUUUAAUCGCUCAUCAUGUUACUGCCGUAAAUUAUAUUUAUAGAGAUACUCGAUUUGAUGGAAAAACUGAACAUCGUAACAUCAAGUUUGAAGUUCAGAGAAUUAAGAUCGACAAUGAUACUGCUUGUUCUAAUCCAUCCGAUUCCAAACCUAAUGUAUUUUGUAUGGAGAAUAUUGAUGUCAGUAAUUUUUUAAAUCAACACUCACUCGGCAAUCAUGAAGAUUUUUGUCUUGCUUACGUCUUUACAUAUCGAGAUUUUACCGGUGGUACACUUGGACUUGCCUGGGUAGCAUCAGCUUCUGGUGCUUCAGGUGGAAUUUGUGAAAAAUAUAAAACUUAUACUGAAACAGUUGAAGGAAUGUAUCAAUCUACCAAAAGAUCUCUUAAUACUGGUAUAAUAACAUUUGUUAAUUAUAACAGUCGAGUUCCACCAAAGGUUUCUCAAUUAACAUUAGCCCAUGAAAUUGGUCAUAAUUUUGGAUCACCACAUGAUUAUCCACCGGAAUGUAGACCUGGCGGAUUACACGGUAAUUAUAUUAUGUUCGCUUCAGCUACCAGUGGUGAUCGACCAAAUAAUAGUAAAUUUUCUAAGUGCAGCAUCGGAAAUAUAAGUAAUGUUCUUGAUGCUAUGGAAGGUAAUCAAAAACGGAAUUGUUUUACCGCUUCGGCUGGUGCUUUUUGUGGUAAUAAAAUUGUUGAAGCUGGUGAAGAAUGUGAUUGUGGUUAUGAUUAUGUAGAAUGUACUGAAAAAUGCUGUUAUCCUCGACAAGUAUCGGAAUACGAUAGAAGUCAGAAUGAGUCUGCGAAGGGGUGCAGUCGCAGAGCAGGAACACAAUGCAGUCCGAGCGAAGGCCCGUGUUGCUCCAGUGAAACCUGUCACUUUGUACCACUUUCCGACAAAGUUGAGUGUAAAGCUGAGUCUGAUUGUAGUUAUAAUUCAACGUGCAAUGGUAGUUCUGCAGAAUGUCCUCCAUCGUUACCGCGUCAAAAUAAAACACGUUGUAAUGAAGGAACUCAACUUUGUAUAAAUGGUGAAUGUACUGGUUCGAUUUGUCUUGAAUGGAAUCUUACUGAGUGUUUUCUAACUAGCAAUAUCAUUCCGAAUAUUGAUAAAAGAAAAUUAUGUGAGCUUGCUUGUCAAAAUGGAACUGAUGCUUCGACAUGUCGCAGCACUAGUGAAUUUGCAUUAAGUGUUGGAUUACCAGAAGGUGGUAUCAGUUUACGACCAGGUUCACCAUGUGAUAAUUUUCAAGGGUACUGUGAUGUAUUUUUAAAAUGUCGAGCAGUUGAUGCAGAGGGUCCAUUAGCUCGAUUAAAAAAUCUAUUGUUUAAUAAAGAGACAUUGUUAACUGUCGCACAAUGGAUUACAGAAUUUUGGUGGGCAGUUUUAUUAAUGGGAAUUGCAUUUAUUAUCUUUAUGGGUUUGUUUAUAAAAUGCUGCGCUGUACAUACACCUUCUAGUAAUCCUAAAAAACCACCAGCACGAAGAAUAAGUGAUACAUUACGGCGGCCGAUGAAUACCCUUAGAAGAAUGCGUCAUCCACAUCAUCCGCCAGAAUCACGAAAUGUGACUGCACCCAAUGCAAAUCGUAAUCAUGCUUCUCGUGCAUUAUAUCAUGGAUACGGAGAAGGCCGAGGAGCCCAAUACUAUCCGAAAGGAUAUCACUCCGUUCCUACAGCUAGUGCCCCACCGACUUCCGGAUCUACAAAUCACAACCGUUCCAACCAUCCGGAAUUAUAUGCAGGAGCAUAUUCUGGCUCUGACAGUGACAGAAGAGGACCAUCAUAUGCAUUGCGUCACCACAAAAUCUGAUAAAGAGAGACCAAAAAUAUAAUACCACAUUCUCCUUAUAAUUAUUUCCGUAUAUCAGGUGUAGGACUAUGGAACCAAUGUAAAGUUAUCUGAUAUCAAAAAAAUUUUGAAAGACAGUCCUUUGUAAUGACAUAUUUUGGAAAAAAAAGAUAUCAGUCCAAGUACAAGGAUUAGGUACAAGGAUUUAUACGGGUUCAGUAUUUGAAAACAACAAAAACUUAAGAACUUCAAGCGUUUAAUGAAAAAUUAUGGAACAAGUUUCCUGACUAGAUAUUGUCCAAUAUAAAUUAGUAUACUGAACAAUCUUCUGUGAAAGAAACAAGAUGAACUAAUAUUCUGGUGUAAAGUUUUUUGACUCUGAAAAAGAAAAAUAACAAUACUCUAAAAGUUAAAGUGUCGAUGAAAUUAAUAUACAUUUCUCUUCACUUGCAUUAAGUGUGUAUUGAUUGGACCAUAGACAAACCUGGUCUAAAUAAAGCAAAAACUUAAACAAGAAAA
rnacentral:misc_RNA from 1 species